UUGGGGAGGACUGAGCACUGCAGCUCCACCCAAACCCUGCCCUGGCAGCAGCACCAGGGGCUGCUCCAGCACUGAGUGAACCUUUGUGACCCAGACCUGAGCUCCUCAAAUCAAGAUUUCUAUAAAGCACCACAAGCCAUUGGGAAAAGAGCCUUUAAAGCUUUAGGAGAACCUGGAAUUGUUAAAGGCACCUGUCUGAGCUCCUGGGGAGUGCACUGGGGCCAGCUCAGCUUUGCCUCCACCCCUCUGCAGUCAAAGAACUUUAAUCUGGCCAGGUGGAAAUGUUCCUGACUCUGCCAUUUAGCUGUGCUGCUGACAAACCAGAGAGUGCUUGUCAAGCUGAGCCUAAUCUCCUGAGAAAAGCUGCCAUGACCACCUCAGAGAACUUUUAUCAGUGUGAUGUGGAGCUACAUCUGAGCAGAGGGGAAAUUUUGCUUUCCAGCCUUAUUGCAACCCAUUGCCUAAUUGGGAUGUCAGGGUUGUCAUUGCUUCAUGCUGCACUCUCACAGGCCUUGAUACACUCUUAUUCCAAAUAGUUCAGGUGAACAUUCCAGGUGUGGCAGCAGGAUUGCAGAGGCAGAGCAGUUUCCAGUGAUUAAUGCUUUGUCCUUGGGCACCAGGGCUGCACUUCAGCUCUCCCAGUUCCCAUUUAAAUGCAGAUGCCCUCGGUGAAAAGGCAGCUCCAUGGCAGUGCCAUAAGUUUAGCAGGAGUUCUCAUUGUGAAGCCUCUUAAUCAGGGCAACUCCUGCACAAAGGUGACUGACAGGGCAGCUCCUUCAUCCCCUGGUGGAAUCAAAAUAGGUCACUCCAUAAUUCCAGAAUGGUUCCGGGCACCAAGUUCAACAAGGUCUUUGAGAAUGAGAGAACUCAGCCAGUUCUGCAGCUUCCCUAGCCCAAGAUAAAUGUGCUCCUUUAUCGGCAGGUUUUUUACUGUUACUCCUCUUAAUGAUCUGAAUUACUUCUCCAGUUUUAAAGAUGUACAUUCUAAGUGACCUGGCAGAUUUCACAUCCUCCCACUUCAUCCUUUGGAUCAUUUUUGCCUCAAAUUGAGCCAGGUGCAAAGCAGUGAUUCUGUGCUGGGUACAGGCUCUGCUCUUGGUUCUGUCCACAGAGAAAGAAUGGGGAGAGAGAAGGGAGUUGUUUCUGGAUAACACAUUUAAAUUCCUUUUACAUUAGCUAUUUGUGUGUUCAUCAAACAUUUAUUCAAAGUAAUCAGGAGAAACAAUUUCCUUAUCCCUGGAAGCACCACAAGCAGAGUUAAAUCUUUGAGGAACAAGCUGUUGCUGCCACUGAAUCACUCCCUAGCUGCUGGUGCUCCAACCCUCCCAGAAGCAAACUAAAAGAAUUCCCAGGUGCUCCCAGAUUCCAGCUCCUGAAUGAACUUCAUUCCAAGAUGCAAUUUAUUUUCCAUGGUGAGGAUGAGGCUCUGAUGUAGUAGAGAUUUUAGCAGUGCACUGAGUCAUGCUGGGCUCCAGAAUCUCUCUGGGGUGCUCUGCUGAUCACUAAAUUGAUAAACCAGGGUGACUUUAUCACCUCUGAAUGCCACUGCAGGAGUUUGGGAUCCAAGUCUCACAGACACUGAGGCAAGGAGAAAACCAAUCUUCUCAAGUGCAGACACAGAAAGGUUGAAGGAGACCCUAAAGCAGGGGACACAGGGGUAAUUUCAUCCAAAACAGAGAUUUCAAUCAUUUCAAUUUGGCCCCACUAAUUACUCCAUACAAGGUUUGUUUUGAAAAACAGGAUGAAGGGAUGCCCCAUGAAAAUAAGAGGCUUUGUAGAUAACACUGCCAAAGAGAUAUGACAGAGCUGCUUGAACAUUCACAUCAUUCACAAAUUACUUUGAGGCUUGGAAAUAAUAUUUGUUUUCUAUUGGGAUGCAAGAAACUCUGUGACUGUAACUGUGUUAACCUUCCUGCUGCUCCAAAUGCAGUCUCCUGAAAGGGACAACUCCCCCUAAAGUGAGGGAAAAUGUGGGUUUAAACCUUUAUCCAUGGAAUGAACUACAUCAGCCUAAACUUAUGAGGUGGGACAGGAUGGACACUGCAGCUCUGGAGGUGGGACAGGAUGGACACUGCAGAACUGCAGGUGGGACAGGAUGGACACUGCAGAACUGGAGGUGGGACAGGAUGGACACUGUAGAACUGCAGGUGGGGCAGGAUGGACACUGCAGAACUGCAGGUGGGGCAGGAUGGACACUGCAGAACUGGAGUGGGACAGGAUGGACACUGCAGAACUGGAGUGGGACAGGAUGGACACUGCAGAACUGCAGGUGGGACAGGAUGGACACUGCAGAACUGGAGUGGGACAGGAUGGACACUGCAGAACUGCAGGUGGGGCAGGAUGGACACUGUAGAACUGGAGGUGGGACAGGAUGGACACUGCAGAACUGCAGGUGGGGCAGGAUGGACACUGCAGAACUGCAGGUGGGACAGGAUGGACACUGCAGAACUGGAGGUGGGACAGGAUGGACACAGGCUCCUCUGGCUGACCAUCCAAGAAGGGAACUGCUCCACCCACUACAUCACUGCUGCCUUUUGCUAACAACAACCUCCAGAGACCCAGGGGGCCAAAAUCAGGCAGAGCAGCUCAGCUGACCCUGGCAGAUAUCAUCAGUGUGCAGGAGCAGCUCUAUAUUUAGCUCCAGCUGACGUCACUUGUCACACAUGGGGAUGCACUUUACCUCCACGGUUUGAGAGGCAGAUAAGCUCUGCCUCCACACCCCUCAUUUUGUGUUUGUGAAUAGUUCUCUGGGCUCAGCUGCAUUCCUCAUUCAGCAGCAGAGGAACGGUCGAGGAUUUCAAGCUGGACAGUGAAACAGGACUUUACAAAAGCAAGCAAUCCCUUAUUUCUUCCUCCCUCAUCCAGGAGCCCUAAGUGCCUUUGGCAGCUUUGGUCAGGGUUUGGCCAGGGACUCAUGUCCCUGGAGCAGGGCAGUUGCAGGCCAGUGUGACUAAGUCAAAAGCACAGAUUGUGUUUAGCCUGUAAAAUAAGCCAGUGGUCAUGAAGUUAGGCCUUUACACCUCUGCCAGGUGCUCUGGCCCAGGAGAGGCUGGCUGUGAUCCUUUAACCCCAGGGCUGCAUUUCUUACUGCAACAGAAAUGACAAACAGGUGAUGCUCAUUCCCAAUAACCUCCUCUCCUGAGCUGGUGUGUCAGGUCUGUGCUUGCUGCAGUGCCCACUGUGGGGAUCACUUGGUUCAAAUCCCUUGAUUUAGAGUUUUCCUGGAGCUCCUUCAAUCAGAGCAGUCCUGCCUGACCCUGUUCCCCCCUGAAACCAGCAUCAAACUACCCAGGGCUGAGCACUGGCACAGUAAAAUGGGUGGGUUUGCACCCAAGCAGCAUCCAGGCACCAGGCUGCCAACUGCUCAAGAGGAAAAACCCUAUUUUUUAAUACAGAAAAAGAGGUUGGCAUUCUCCAGCAAUUAAAGGGGAAGUGGGGGCACAUGACGGAGGGAGUCAGAUCAGCAGGCACAAAUUUGACUGAGGCAAUGUUGUUGAAUGAAAUGUGAGAAUUGAGGAUGGAAAAGAGGGAAAAAUGUCAGAAUUUAACAGAAUUUACUCAGACACAGUCAGGAAGCAGAUAAAAAAAUAAUGCAAAUGCUCAAUCCUCUUGCCUAUAAAGUGAUCCAAUGUACUGCCUGGUGUUUAUGUUUACUCUUCCACUGAGAGGACUAAGCACUGUUCCAAACCUCUGGAAUCUCUGUUCUUUUAAGGGGAUUUACUGGCUGGGCCAAUGGCUUGGGAUUUAGUGCUUUGGGAAUUCUGCUCUUUGUUGUAUCCCUGUUCUUGCUCUGUAGUUUCUAAAUGAAGGUCACUACUGCAGCUCUUACUCUGGAGAAGUACAAAACUUAUUUUCUCUAGAAAGGAUGGCAAACACUGCAAAUAAGUCCACCUACAACAUAGCUGGCAGUUGCUAUUGUCAGCCUUAACAAAUGUUUCUCCAAAGGACAUUAUGUAGAUAUCAUUAUGUAUAGAGAUGCAUAAAUUAGUGGCCAAAAUUAGCUCACGUAGCUGAUAGAGAAAAAUAUUUCUUGCAGGCAGGGUCAGCAUUUGGCUGGGCCAAGUUCCAACUAAGCUUAAGCAACUCAUUUAAUAGGGAUAAGUAAACACUGGCAAACAAACCAGCUGAGAGCUUUUGUGGUGUAGCACAGACACGUCCAGCAGUAUUUUUGUCCUGCAUUCCCCUCUGUGGAUCUGCUGUUUCUCCCACUGUGAUUGUGUCCCUCUGCCAGGAAAACAGGCAGAGACAGACCUGAGCUGACUGAAUUGUUAGGCCCUGUAAGAGAAAAACUUCUCCAGAUCUCAGCUGUCUCAGAGGUACCCAGUGUUCCAGGCAUAAGUGCUGCUGGUUUUCAGCUAAAAACAAAGAUGAAAUUUGGGGUUUGCUUUAAAAAUUGAUUGAAAGUAGUGUAAUAAAACACCUUGUUAUCUCAAAGUUGUGACUUUCAGAGUUGUGGCUCUCUGGGACCUCUUCAGAAUUCAGUGUUUAAGUCUGGUUCAGGCUGUGGGUGAGUUCUGAACUCUGUAAUGCCCAGACAAUUUAGUGACUGGAAUUUCUACAGCCAGACUUUGAAGAGGAGACAGAAAAUCAAGUGUUCUGAAUGCAGGGACUUGAUCAUCAGUCACUGGGGUCCCUUGUGUGCCAAAACCAAACACUGAGCACAGGUGGGUGGCUGUUUUCUGUGCUGUGCAUGAAGAGCAGCUCUCUCUUUCAGAUGGUCAAGAAAAACUGUGAAAUGAGGACUAUGAAAAAGGAGGAACACAGUGUCUCAAAUCUAGGAUGCUGCUCACCCCUGCAGCAGCACAGCUACAGAUUGCAAAAAGCACAAGAUGUUGGCCAAGAUGGCUUAGAGCUGGCAAACUCCAUGGAAGCAGAAGUUCAGAAGGAAUAUGACUCAGGUUCUGCAGAGAACAGCGUGAAAGGAAGAUUAUGUGGAACAAAAUGAUGCUGGGAAUGGGGCGUGGGUGAUCAGGAUGAAGGGGAACACCAGAAUCAUCUGAACAAGCACUCAUUCAGGUCAAACAAUAAGCAAACAAUGAACCAAAAAAAAGGUAAAAAUAUCAGAAGUCUCCCUCCACUACAGUUUAAUUUCUUCACUGUUUGGAGGGGGUUCAACGCAAAACACAAGUGAGUGAAUGCUGCUCACUGUGUGCUUGUGCAAGGCUGCCCAUGAGCUGCAGACACAAGGUCUAAAAUCUGUGAUUUGAAUCUGUGCUGUCUCCCUCCACCAAUGGGUGCUGACAGAGUGAAGCAAGCCAGAAGCUGAAUCAUGAAAAGCAGUGGAAUUUUCAAAAUCUGUAAUUUAUUUUCUCCCUUUUCCUUAAUAUCGAGCUAAAAUAGAGCUAAUCUUCUCAAAAUGUACUCUGAUGUACUGUCAUGUUCCCAGAAGUUAGUUGGCUUUGUGGAUUUUACUUUUUUUUGGUGUUUUUUAUUUGGGUAGUUUGUGGGGUGAUAUUUUGUUUUGUUUGAGGGGGAUUUUUUUGUGGUUUUUUUUUUGUUUUUUUUUUUUUUUUUAAUUUUUUUGUUGUUGUUUGUUGAGGCAUUUUUUACUAAGGAACUAUAAAGAAGUUUCUUCCACAGAGAUAUUGGAGUUUCUUCUGAAGUCCAGUUGUCCUGGACAUUCACAACCCACAGUAACAUCACACAGAUCCACUGUGAACAUGACCCCAAAUAAAUGCUUUAUGAGGGUACCUCUAUGUACCCCUGCUGAAAACA